AGAGCAGCCUUUUGCUAUAGGAGGUAUAUAUUUCCCUCUCAAUUCUAUAAAAGGGUCUUAACCUGUUGCAACUUACAAAGCAUAAGCUUUGUGCAUUAUGAUGCCCUUGCUCUAUGAAUGAGAGAUGGUGCACCUCAAUUUGAUGCCGUUGUUUAAAUACAUUUACCAUUACCCAUACAUUUUAGUUGAGAUGAUGUGGUCUUGCAUUAACAUGUUGCUUUUUCAGUAUACUGCAUGACUUGUAGCCUCCUUUCUUUUAAGAGCGCCUUUUUCUUUGCAAAGUAAGUGUUUGAAGUUUUAUUUCCUCUUGGUUUGUCAACUUAUGCAAACAUUUGAUACUUGAUAUGAUCUGCCAGAUCUUGUAAAAAGCUGUGUUAUUGAUGAACUCAAGUUGUUAGACUAUCAGUGAUGUCGAACAAGUUUGAUGCCAAAUUGAUGUAGAACCAAU
rnacentral:misc_RNA from 1 species